UCCUUCCUUAGGCAUUGUAAGCCUAAGUACACCAUAGCAGUAAUGUCACGUAGAGGUACUUGUGCUACUGUAGUGGUGCAUUUUGGUAAAAAAAAAAAAUUUCUAUCAAGAUUCUGUAUGCUUUAUGGAUCCACCAGACAUCAUGUUGGCUGAAGAAGGCCCAUCAGUUGAGGAGGAUGAGGAGACUGUGUCUGUAUGUUCAAGGAGGCCUGAGGAUGCUGACACUGUUCUAGAGCCCUCUCAGUCUGGGACCACAUGUGACAAAGUGAGUAUUAAGAAAUGAAAACAAUGUGACAAG